CUUCUCCUCAAGGCAUCACUUUCCAGCAGAGCAGCACUGUGGUCCAUAGGGACAACAGAUGGAUCAAAGUGUGUCUGUUGCAGCAAACAAGUGAUGGCUUGAGUUGACACCAGAAGGCUGUCCUUGUGCAGGGAGAUCCAGGGUGCUAUGCGUAUUGUUUUGGCAGAGGCAUCACAGGGGAGCCAGCUCUCGAGAGAGCAGUGCUAGGUUCAGGGCUAAUUGGAAGGUAACAAAGAUUAAAUACAGCAGGCUGCCAAUUGUCAAGAUAAAAACAUGUUUGAUAGGAAGGUACCUUCCAUGUAGAAUAACAGAUGAGAGGUGAAAACAUACCAUUUAUUGAUAGCCUAGGAAAGAAUCCAUAGUGUUUGCUUGGCUAAGGACAUCAGGUGUCCUCCUGUCCUGUCACUUGGGUUAGUUUAUACCUUGAUCUCAUUGAAUUCCGAUCUUUUGUGUAUGAUGUCCAUAACUUGCUGUGCAAAAAUUGGGGUAUCUGUUGCUGAGUUGGAUUUUCAAGAUUCUGGUGAUGAUUAUUAUGUUUUUGUCUGAAAAACAGUGGGUUUAAAAUCACAACAUCUCUGCAAAGGACUCCAUUGCAAAGGCCUAUUCCAGAUGCUGGAAACCACACUUAGAUGCACUUCAUCAUUUUUUGCCUUUUCAGGUACAGACGUACACCUUGAAUGAUUUUGUUCCCUGAGCUGAAGCCAGGUUACAUUAGUGCCAAGGAUGAAGAACAGUUUUCUACAGCUGCAGGAAAAGAUUCUCCCUCCCCUUUCUCUGGAAGAGACUGUUGGAUGAGGGAAGUAGAUGCAUCAGAUGAGCUAGAGUGUGUGCAGUGAUAAUCUGAAGUUUUUCCUUUCAUCUUUUCCUCAAGGGCUCUGGAACAUAGUCCUGGUUGUGUUCUGUUCCAAGCUAAGUAUGACUGGAGAGGGCAUUGACUAGAAGAGACAUGCUUCCAAGGAAGCUGAGUUAGGAUGGCAUGCAUCACAGCAGCUCCACAUGGGGAGCACACCACUGCUAAGGGAGUGGAAGGUUUGGGAGAUGUUGGUUUCCCAGGGCUGUCAUUGCUCUGCCGUGAAGUCGAGCUGACCCAGGCUUGCAGCUUCCUUCAGUUCUUCCUGAAGCUGGGGUGUUGAAUGAGCCAGGGUAAGUCACUAACCCACAGCUGCAGAUGAACAUGAGAAGGGCUUUGAAACAUGCUCCAUGCUGAAGGGGUUGGGGAGCAGUGCUUUUACUACUUGCAGGAGUAAUUCUUCAGCUCUCUCUUCUAACAGGACCAAACACCCAAUACCAAAAUGCAGCUGCUGCUGGGGUGGGGAUGUUUGCUAUUGUAGAGGAGGUAAGGGACUGGAUGUUGGUGUUCUUACCAUGUUAAAAUGUGUCUGUAACAAAGCCUGAGCCUUACUAGGCUCAGUGCUGUUAUUCCCAAAUUGGGGAUAAAAAGGAAACAGGCAAAUGGUAAGGAUUGUGAGUCUACUAGGUAGCAGUGUGGUUGAGCAAAUAACACCUGUGUAAGGAUGGGAGUCUAUCGGAAGUUUAUCUUCCACUGACGUUUCCGAUUGGGAAUGUGAAACUCACCAUAGCAGUUCUAAGCCAUCCAUUCCACAAAAACUGUUGGGCAACACUCAGCAUCUCCCAACAUCUACAAAGUGAGGUUUCCUUUAACCUCUGAGAUGCCUUGAGUGAAGGGACACAGCUCAUGAUGUAUCUGAGUGUUGUAUUCAGACCUUUGGGCACUGAUUAGUCGCUCUCGGGGUUGAAACUCCUUCACCGGGCAUGGUAAUGAAGUGAUACACAUACCCUGGAAAAACAGGUUGGUGGUAGUUCUGUAGCUGAGUGCCUGUGGGUUAAUAUUAGUUAAAACAGACCUAUAAAGGGAACUCAAGAGCUUGAAAUGCCUCUGAGGGAAGCAUAGUCCUGGUGGAUUAGCUGCUCAAAGGCAUGGUAUCUCUAGUGCUUGCUGUGCUCAGGGUUGCCUUCAGCAGUGGCUCAAGCCUUGGGCUGCAGAGCUGCUCAGGGAGCCUUGCUGUGAAGGUUGGGAAUAGGCAACAACAGGACUGAUGCAGUUCAUUUAGGGGCUGUGCAAGGAGCUGACCGGUUUCCCUACACCAGGAAACUUGCCACCAUGUCAAGAGACUGCAUGGCCCAUCUGGGGCAGACAGUUUACCCACACGCCGUGAAUCUGUGCUGUCAGACAGGAUCCAGUCCGGCCUCUGCUCUGUUCUGCUUUAGCACAGAUGUCUGCAGCCAUCCUCACCCUGUGACAGGUAUAAGAAAUCGCUGCUUUUCUAUCCUCCCUUAUCUUGCCAAAGCCUGUCAGGACAAAUAGUCCUUGGGUUUCAAUUAAGACCUUCAUCGUCAUAAGACAGUAUUUCUCCUCUUGCCCCUCCCCUUCUGUUGCAGUCUGGAUUAUUAUUUUUCCCCAGCAGUGCUUUAAAACUCCACACAAGGUAAAUAGAUGCUGCAACAACUCAAGAUCUCUGAAAGAUCAGGCCCUGGAGAGUCCCAGCGUGCUCAGAGAAUCUAGGUCUUGGGUACAAGCAACCCAGACACCAGAUGGGCUGAUGAGAAGCUGAUGUGGCGUGAGGAGGCAGAGGAGUUUUGUAUUCCUUCCUUCUUGCCUUCCCUGAAGAUGCUGCAUCAAAUCAGCACAGCGCUCACACAGGUGCUGCAUGUUCCACUGUAGGAACCUAAAAUACCACUGCAGCCAAAAAAACUGAUGUAAACCUUCAACUGCUCACAUGCAUCUGUCAGUGUGGACAUAAAACAGCAGGGACAUGUUGGAAGCUGGAAUAUACAUCCUGCAUUACAAAGUGCAAAAUACCACAUGCUUAGAGCCCAAGCAUGAUGUCUGAAACAGUCCACAGCAAGAUGUAAAGAGACAAACCCACCACCCUCGCCCUCCUCUCU